AGCUCUUGGGGCUGAGAGAAGCAGAACACCGAGCUCUGAGCGCGGAGGCUUUCUGGAGAACUCUUGGAGAUAAAGUACUGGAAACGUGUACCCACAGGCAGGCCGGCAAGCCGAAUCAGACUUGUUAGUGCUACGUUGGUUGAAUGUUGAAAGCGGUUCACUGAAAGUGACAGUUUACAUUUUGGAACGAUGGAAUCGAUGCCAUUCUUUCUGACGGUGGUCCAACCCCAGGUCCAAUCACCUGUUUAAGGACAUUUUCAGCUGGUGACAAAAUAAUCCCAUUAUUAAGAGUUAAUAAUUUUAAUAUGAGGAAAAAUACUAUAACUCAACAGAAAAGGACAAACGACAAGAAAAAAAAAAAAAACACAACCGAAAAACUAAGCAAUACAGGCCGCCAGCAGAGGUAUGGUGCAUAGGCUGGGUGAUGCCACAGUAAGAAGCAACCCCCCACAACUUGAGUGGCUUAAACCGUAACGUCUGUUUCUUGCUCACACGCCAGGGCAAGCCAGAGUCCCAGGUGUUUCUUCCCAUCAAUCUAGACCAGAGGCUUUUGGAGGCUCAGUCUCAAUACAGGCUCUCAGACUGCAGGAGGACCAGGGACAGUGGAAGAAGUGAACAUUUACUGGUGGGAACUCCCUCCAGAAGCCACACACAUGGCGUUCACGCGCACCUCCUUGGCCAAGAGUCCCGCGGCCACACCCAUCCUCAGAGCAGGUGGAGAUGCGAGCUUACCUGAGCCCCGGAGGAGCAUCCAACUUCAGUGGGAACAAAGCCGGCCACCUGGAGAGAAAGUGCCAACUCAUUGCCAAAGAAAUGCAAACCGGAGCAGCCAGGAGACACCGUGUGAUUGUUUGCCAAAGUCGACAGAAGCAAAAGUGAUGGAACCUUGGCCUUUAGGUCUGGGCAGGGGUCCUGGGGCAGCCUUUGAAACCCUCUCCAACGGACACACACCCGCUGGGAGCCCCUGGACGAACUCCUGCCCCCAGGAAACCGAAACUCCCUGUGGACACCAGGACCCUCCUCCCAGAGGAAGAACAGCUGAGCUGCUCCCUGACAGAAAAAGACAGUUCCAGAACUCGGGAAGAGGGAAGAAAGAGGGCACUAAAUCUCCUCUCAUCAUCGUAAUGAUGAAGCCCGCGGCGUCCCGGCCCCAUCCCCAUGCCCUCCACGACAACAAAGUGCUCUAUUGUGAUCUAUUACAUUUUUCUCAAAAAACCUUCAGCCGAGCACAAGGCCAGCGCCAUAUCCUGCACUGGCUCUCCCUCAUUGUCCCCGCCGAGGGAAACGGAAUGUGUCAGUCUGAGUAAUGCGCCUUCAAUGCUUCUCAGGAGCCGCUGGCUCAGCCGGGAUAAAGCCGCCCCCACCCUUUCUCAGGCCCGGUCGGGGAUGAAAGCUGCCCGCGCCGGGACAGCCACCGCGCGCGCCACCUGGUCCACGGGCCGGGGCCAGUUUGGCGGACAGGGCUGGUGGCCGGCCCCUUCCCUGCUCCCACCCCCCGCCGUGGGUCCAGGGGUUACAAUGGGGGCAGGGGGUACUUGGAGACGGGGAGCGGGAGUCACGGGAGCAACAGGGAACCAGCCCUCAAGAGCUGGAGGGGAAGCUGGGGGGGAAGACACUCAAGAGCUGGGAGAAAGUAGGUACCAGGGCGUGAGCUUGGCCACAGUCUUGGGGCAAACGCACCCUGCUCUGCCCUGUCCCACCUGGCCCCAGCCCCUGCCCCGCCGGUGACCAAGAGGCAGCAGCAGGUCCCACCAGCGUCUGAAUGACAAAGCCCUUACACCCACCCUUCCCACAACUUCCAUGUACGUGGCUAUCAAAAUCAAACCCGGCUACCUACAUCUUGUCGUUCAUUCAUACACUCUCGUGCAUUCAUUCCUACUCUGCCUGGUGCUUGAAUGAGUAGGACAUGGGGGGGGCAGGCAGGGGAGGGGGUGAAAGGGACUCUGCCUGCUGCUUGGGUGGCGCCUGACACUGUGAUCCCCAGCAGGACCUGCUCCAUCAGCCGCAGGGCCCCUUGCAGAGUGAGGAGGCGGACCUCUGCAUUUCCCAAAAGUGCCGAAGGCUGUCCCACGGUGGCUGCACAGCACUGAACCAAGCGCUGACACCUUCUGAGGCUGGCGCUGUGUGACUGAGCCAGCCGGCUGCUGACACUGCCCUGCGCUUGGUGACUCUCCAUUCCCUCCACGAGCUGGGGCUCUGCUCAGGCAAGGAAGUUGACUCCAGGGUUGGGGGAGUCAUCGGCCUGGGACUGAGUCUGGCCUCCCUCUCGCUGGCCGAGUGAGGCUGAGCCUACACACACUUGACAGCUCUGGAAAGUCAGGCGUUCAACCAGACAACCCCAAAGCCCUCCAGCCCAGCUCCACACUCAGCACCACACACAAUGCAGUGUUCACUCCAAGACUGCUGUGGCCCCCUGAUCGGCAGUUGUGCACCAGUGAUUGAGGGUUUGCAGUGGUAAGGGCCUUAAAGGUCACCCUGGCCAAUUGCUUUAUUGAUUAGAUGAGGAAACUGAGGCCCAGAGUCCAUCUCCAGCCCUCUUGUGGCCGCUUGCCUGCCCUUGUGAGCCUCCCUUCCCAGGAGUGGCAGGCUAUGAGAGGCACUCCCCAAUCUCCUCUCCAGCUGGUCUUCAGCAGCUGGACCAGAGCAGAGCUGACCCAGGAGCAAGCCUAGGUCACAGAAUUGCACAUGGUCCCCAGACCUCUGCAGCCACCACUCACUGUACCUGGAGGAAGAGUAAGACCAGUCUUCCAGAGAGCCGGGCCCUGGAGGAACCCAAGAAGAAGAUCCUGUCCCCGAGGGCCUGCCCUGCCUCGGCUUCCUUUUCCUGGGGAACCCAAGACUCCAUGCCAGGGCCUCUGGGCCAGUAUGGACCCUCUGCCUCAGCAGCAGGACAUAGCAUUCUCACUGGCCUUCAAGCCUGAGAUGCUGGGUGAGAGAGCAGAGGCACUGUGGCAGGUGGGAGCUUGCCCCAAGCUGGUACCUUUUUGUGGAAGAAUUGAGGGAGCAGACUGAGUACAAGCACCCUACCCAGCCAUGCCUUUUGUGAAGGGACUCUGCAGUGUCUCCCAUUGAGAAGGAGGGUAUGUCUCUCCACCCUGAAAUUGGACUUGAUGUAUGACUCACUGACCAACAGAAUAUGAUGGAAGUGGCAGACUGCUGAUUCUAGCCCAGAGCUCCAGGGGCCAUGCAUGCUUCCCUGUGGUGUCUCAUGCCUCCACACAGCCCUGGCAGCCUGCAAGAGAAUGACGAAUUUGUGGAGCCAAGCCAAGCUGAUCCAGAUAUUCCAGCCAAAGCCCAGAGAUGAGAGUGAACCCAGGCAGUAUCGGUGAAGCUGCCUACAUGACCUGCAACUGAUGCUGGACACACCAGUCAGCCCAGCCCAAAGCAGAAAACCGCUAAGCUGAGCCCUGCCUCAGCUGCCAAGCUAAAGAUUCGGGCAUUGUUUUAAGCCCUGUGUUUUGGGAUAGUUUGUAAUGCAGAAAUUCAUUGCAUCCAAGGUGCCAGGAAGCUAAUGAGGCCACCGUUCACACAGUUGCUGCCUUUUGCUCUUUUCCCCAGCAUUAAUUCUUUCCCUACCCCCCUGGAAGCUCAGCUCAAGUACGCCCUUCCCUGGCGCCUGUCUGGUCAUGACGGCCUGCAGGGCAGAGGCAGUGAGGUGUCACAGAAAGAGCCCUGCAAAAGGCAGUGGAAAGUUCUACCUCACAGCAUCACUCACUCAUUCCCUGAGAUCUGUGCAGAGGAGACUCAGAAAGCCGGACAGGGAGCCGGCCCUCACGUAGCUUCUGGUCCAACGGCAGAGACAGGCCAGGAGACAGAUGGGGACCACGUGGCCUCUUCCCUGCUCAAACCAGGUGAGCCCGUGGGAGUGCAAAAGCUGCCCCAGGGAAACAGUGUGCCCAGACCUGAGCGCACGUCCCUGGCUACCUCACUGGCCCACCUCUGACAAUUCCCUUUGUCCCGUGGACUGCAGCCGCACUGGAUUGGAAGGCCAGGAAGGCAGACAAGGAGGCACUUCCUCUACAUCUCACAGGGCAGACAGGACCCAGGCUAACCCCUGCACUAGGGUGCAGGCUAGUGUGCUGCCCUCAAAGGUACUUAGAAAGCCUUUGCUCAGUUGGACUGGAUGAGACUGGGUUGCAUUGAAUUGAAUUAACUGAGCUGAAUGGAAAUGAACCAGAUGAAGUCAGUAACACCCUUGCCUGGUAGCAGCACCGUCGCAUCUCCAACGAUGUCUCCGGGGUGGGGACCAUGGUUCGCCCCUCUGGCCUCUCCCUCUAGAUGAGCACAGGGCUGGGAAUGAGGCCAGGGAUCCGGGCUGCUUGGCUGACACAGGUUGACCAUAUUUGUAAAGAUUGCCUUUCCUCUGGAUCCAAACACUCCAGAAUAGGAAUUGUCUACCCAUUUCCUUCAUCCACGUUUAUGCCGUG
ensembl:lncRNA